UACGUAGGGUGCGAGCGUUAAUCGGAUUUACUGGGCGUAAAGCGAGCGCAGGUGGUUUAAUAAGUCUGAUGUAAAAGGCAGUGGCUCAACCGUGGAGGGUCAUUGGAAACUGGGAGACUUGAGUGCAGAAGAGGAAAGUGGAAUUCCAUGUGUAGCGGUGAAAUGCGUAGAGAUAUGGAGGAACACCAGUGGCGAAGGCGACUUUCUGGUCUGUAACUGACACUGAGGCGCGAAAGCGUGGGGAGCAAACAGG
rnacentral:rRNA from 1 species